UUUCCUUGACUCUGCAGUCUGGAAAACUGCUGCGUUGGAAUCCAAACAUGGCAGCAGCAUUCUAUGUUGCAUCUAGCUUGCUUUGUGAUUUUGCCCAUGCUUUGAAUCUUCUGAUGGACGACAAACCCCGGAUGAUGGCACAGUCGUUAACAAAACAAGUCACCCAUUUGUUCAGACGAUGCCAUCCUUCGAGCACACAACCAGCACCAGAAAGCCCACAAGCUCCCUCUGUUUCUGAAGAAGCAGAGAGAGAUGAAGAACAUGAGGAAGAGGACAGUGAGCUUCCACCUGUGCCACAGCUCCAAGAUGCAGAUGGAGAUCAAGAACAUGAGGAAGAGGCCAAUGAACUUCCACCUCUGCCGCAGCCUGAAGAUACAAAACCAGUAAGUCCCAGGUUUGGUCAGCACUGUAGGUGGUGUAAUUUAG